AGGGAAUCUUCGGCAAUGGACGAAAGUCUGACCGAGCAACGCCGCGUGAGUGAAGAAGGUUUUCGGGUUGUAAACUUCUUUUAACAGGGAAGAGAAGAAGACGGUACCUGUUGAAUAAGCCACGGCUAACUACGUGCCAGCAGCCGCGGUAAUACGUAGGUGGCAAGCGUUGUCCGGAUUUAUUGGGCGUAAAGCGAGCGCAGGCGGUUCUUUAAGUCUGAUGUGAAAGCCCCCGGCUUAACCGGGGAGGGUCAUUGGAAACUGGGGAACUUGAGUGCAGAAGAGGAGAGUGGAAUUCCAUGUGUAGCGGUGAAAUGCGUAGAUAUAUGGAGGAACACCAGUGGCGAAGGCGGCUCUCUGGUCUGUAACUGACGCUGAGGCUCGAAAGCGUGGGGAGCAAAC
rnacentral:rRNA from 1 species